UAUGGAGGUGCGUGAGUGAUAGAGAAAAGUGGUGUUGGUUAGAAAGUAUCAAAGAGUUGUGUCCAAGAGAGUUUAAGGGUAGAGUGUUAGUCUCAGAGAUUGUUUCUUGAGUCUCUCUCUCUGCAUGUCCGAAUCGGAAUCCCCAAACUUCAACUCGUCUCUCUCUGCCAACUAACCCUCUCUUCCCUUUGUCCUAACUUUUAAAGGGCCAGACUCUCUGUACGUCAUUAGUUGAUAAGCCAAUAGGAAAUCGUAGAUGGAUUCAAUCGAUGGAUCGCAAUUUAGGUAUUUGAUCCAUAGAGGGCAGUCUCGUUUUACUAAUCCUUCUUAUCCAGGAAAGAGUUAACUUUUCCUGAUGACGAUUUUGACGUCAUUUGGCUUAUCUAAAAUGACUACCAUAACUUAGAUUUGCUGUCAGCUCAAAGCGUUUGUCUCAGUCUUUUACUACUUUGAUCGUAAUUUGUAAAAUUGACAGUUCUAAACUCAAUUUCACCCCUUACUUACAAUGGAA